GGCAAUGGAACGUUGCCUUCGGGGUAUACCUCCCACCCUUUGUUUAUUAUACCUUUGUUGCUUUGGCGGGCCCGUCCUCGGACCACCGGCUUCGGCUGGUCAGCGCCCGCCAGAGGACCUAAAACUCUGUUUGUUCAUAUUGUCUGAGUACUAUAUAAUAGUUAAAACUUUCAACAACGGAUCUCUUGGUUCUGGCAUCGAUGAAGAACGCAGCGAAAUGCGAUAAGUAAUGUGAAUUGCAGAAUUCAGUGAAUCAUCGAAUCUUUGAACGCACAUUGCGCCCCCUGGUAUUCCGGGGGGCAUGCCUGUUCGAGCGUCAUUACAACCCUCAAGCUCUGCUUGGUAUUGGGCUCUGCCGGUCCCGGCAGGCCUUAAAAUCAGUGGCGGUGCCAUUCGGCUUCAAGCGUAGUAAUUCUUCUCGCUUUGGAGGCCCGGGUGCGUGCUUGCCAGCAACCCCCAAUUUUUUCAGGUUGACCUCGGAUCAGGUAGGGAUACCCGCUGAACUUAAGCAUAUCAAAA
rnacentral:rRNA from 1 species